rnacentral:sRNA from 1 species
CGACCAUGCGGGCCACCACGGCCGGCAGUUA